GUACAAGGCUAAAUAGGGCCCUGGGAUGAGGCACCUGUGACAGGGAGGGGUGCAAAACCAGGUUUGGUUUUGCACCCCUCCCUGUCACAGGUGCCUCAUCCCAGGGCCCUAUUUAGCCUUGUACU
rnacentral:miRNA from 1 species